rnacentral:tRNA from 1 species
UUUGAAUAGCUUAAAGUAGAGUUUUAUAUUGAAGAUAUGAAGGUAAUAAUUA